rnacentral:lncRNA from 1 species
UUUAUACCUCCUCAGAUCUUGAAUAAAGAGAAGGCCCCAUCACCAACUUUGCUGAUACAGACUUAAAUCAAAUGCAGGACCUGAUUCGAUUCUAGUCCUAGUAGAUAAUUGCUAGAUUUAUUAGUAAAGACAACCAGCAUCUUCCAUCCUUAUUCCAACUGCUAGUGACAUUACUGCCAACUUUUAUUUUUCUUUCAAAACUUCAACACAAAACAUCAACUCCAACCCUGGAAUAGUUUAUCCUCAAAGAAUGAGUAACAUGAGCUAUGAAUGUAGUAUCCUCUGUUUACUUUUCAUUCUUUUGUUUUAAUGAAGCAGUUUGGAUGCACUAUUAUCGAUUCGUUACACAUUUAAAAUUUUGUAUACUGUAUAGGAAGGAAAGUUAGGAAGAUCGUGACAUUUUGGUUGUGCCAGUGCACCCCUUACAUGGUCAAAAUGAUGAAAGUAGAAAAAAACAAUGUAUGAGAUAUUCACAUUAAAGACUGAGAAAUUCAAUAAUAUUGUA